rnacentral:lncRNA from 1 species
UUUUGGUGAAUGAAAGUUUGGGUGUUGUUCUUUAUACAGCGUAACUGACGUCAUUCAGAAUUAAAGCUGCUACAUGGUAAUUUAGAAACGAUCUGUUUGAGCGCAACAUGGAGGACGCCAUCUGUGCCAUAACUACACUAGACAACAGCAUCGGAAGGCCAUAUUCAGUCUGUGGAAGUGGGGUAUUACAAACUUUUCUGACUCUUAAUGCGCACGGAAUUGUCGAUUUCGGUGUAAAAAGUAAAAGCAUCAGUAAGAAUAAUGUUUAUUUUUAUGUAAUCGUGCCACUGGGCUUACAAGUUUCAAUUUUGAACAAACACC